GAGCGAUCUGCAUUCACCUGGAAUGGAAAAGCACUUAAAACUGUGAAGGAGUCUGGCUGUAUGGAGCUCUUGCAGAUGCCUUUAUUGGCAGCUUCAACCCGUUGCUUCUGAGUUGCCAUGGCAACUGGAAGCCAAACCCGGGAAGGAGGGGCGACGGGGACUGUUUAUUGGAACUGGAGGAGUCGGCGCGAUCCUCUGAAAGCCAGGAAAUAGCGGGAGCCGCCUGUACCUGGAUAAAACCCACCCGGGAGAGUAGGAGGCUCCAGGGGACCACAGCUGACUCCUCCAGGCACAGAGGAUUGAGUCAUCCUGCAGGCGUCAGAGCGGGUAGGAACAGCUCCGCUGAUCUGUAUGCAGCUCCGACUCCCUCUCCAGUUCAGAGUUUGGGAGCCGUCUUGUUCGAAAGUAAAGAACAGAACACAGAUGGCUGGUAACAGGAUCCCACAGGGGCCUCCUUUCCCACUGAGUUCAUCCUGCUAAUCCUUUUACAGAAGAGAAAAUAAGUGGUAAAUGGAAAAAGGGAAAAAAGACUAUAGCUUCUACAGAGUCUACAAGCUCUGUUUUGUGGGUCCCGGUAGGAGGUCUCUGAGGGAGAUUCUCGCUGUAUGUUAAAUUUCCUAGCCC
ensembl:lncRNA